AGUGAACGCUGGCGGCGUGCCUAAUACAUGCAAGUCGAACGGAGAUUAAGUAGCUUGCUAUUUAAUCUUAGUGGCGCACGGGUGAGUAAUAUAUAGCUAACUUGCCCAUUACUAAGGGACAACAGUUGGAAACGACUGCUAAUACCUUAUACUCCGUAUCUAUAUAAGUAGAUACGGGAAAGUUUUUCGGUAAUGGAUAGGGCUAUAUCGUAUCAGCUAGUUGGUAAGGUAAUGGCUUACCAAGGCUAUGACGCGUAACUGGUCUGAGAGGAUGAUCAGUCACACUGGAACUGAGACACGAUCCAGACUCCUACGGGAGGCAGCAGUAGGGAAUAUUGCUCAAUGGGGGAAACCCUGAAGCAGCAAUGCCGCGUGGAGGAUGACACUUUUCGGAGCGUAAACUCCUUUUCUUGGGAAAGAAUUAUGACGGUACCCAAGGAAUAAGCACCGGCUAACUCCGU
rnacentral:rRNA from 1 species